GUGGCUUGGCGGCAGCUAUACAUGCAGUCGAGCGAAUGGAUUAAGAGCUUGCUCUUAUGAAGUUAGCGGCGGACGGGUGAGUAACACGUGGGUAACCUGCCCAUAAGACUGGGAUAACUCCGGGAAACCGGGGCUAAUACCGGAUAACAUUUUGAACCGCAUGGUUCGAAAUUGAAAGGCGGCUUCGGCUGUCACUUAUGGAUGGACCGCGUCGCAUUAGCUAGUUGGUGAGGUAACGGCUCACCAAGGCAACGAUGCGUAGCCGACCUGAGAGGGUGAUCGGCCACACUGGGACUGAGACACGGCCCAGCUCCUACGGGAGGCAGCAGUAGGGAAUCUUCCGCAAUGGACGAAAGUCUGACGAGCAACGCCGCGUGAGUGAUGAAGGCUUUCGGGUCGUAAAACUCUGUUGUUAGGGAAGAACAAGUGCUAGUUGAAUAAGCUGGCACCUUGACGGUACCUAACCGAAAGCCACGGCUAACUACGUGCCAGCAGCCGCGGUAAUACGUAGGUGGCAAGCGUUAUCCGGAAUUAUUGGGCGUAAAGCGCGCGCAGGUGGUUUCUUAGUCUGAUGUGAAAGCCCACGGCUCAACCGUGGAGGGUCAUUGGAAACUGGGAGACUUGAGUGCAGAAGAGGAAAGUGGAAUUCCAUGGUGUAGCGGGUGGAAAGCGUAGAGAUAUGGAGGGAACACCAGUGGGCGGAAGGGCGACUUUUCUGGUCUGUA
rnacentral:rRNA from 1 species